rnacentral:lncRNA from 1 species
AGGAUAUAUAGUGACUGUAAAGGAAAUAUGCCUUGGUGGUCAUCAAAUAUAUUUAAUGGAAGGCAAACAGUGCUAUGGACUAUAUAGCCUUAUAUGUUCCAAAGCAUUCUGAUGAGAUCUUGUGGACUGAGGUUGCUGAUCUUCCUAUGCUACAAGGUGAUAUCAUUUUUCUAAUCUUUUUUGUUGUAUGACCACCCACGCUAAUAAACCCAAGUGGCACCCUUUUUAUUAAUUAAUGUGGAAUUAUAACAAUCUACCCUAUCCAAUUAGGGAUUACAACAUGUCAGAGUUGAG